rnacentral:rRNA from 1 species
CCUACGGGCGGCUGCAGUGGGGAAUAUUGGACAAUGGGGGGAACCCUGAUCCAGCCAUGCCGCGUGUGUGAAGAAGGCCCUCGGGUUGUAAAGCACUUUCAGUGAGGAAGAACGCCUGGUGGUUAAUACCCAUCAGGAAAGACAUCACUCACAGAAGAAGCACCGGCUAACUCCGUGCCAGCAGCCGCGGUAAUACGGAGGGUGCGAGCGUUAAUCGGAAUUACUGGGCGUAAAGCGCGCGUAGGUGGCUUGAUAAGCCGGUUGUGAAAGCCCCGGGCUCAACCUGGGAACGGCAUCCGGAACUGUCAAGCUAGAGUGCAGGAGAGGAAGGUAGAAUUCCCGGUGUAGCGGUGAAAUGCGUAGAGAUCGGGAGGAAGACCAGUGGCGAAGGCGGCCUUCUGGACUGACACUGACACUGAGGUGCGAAAGCGUGGGUAGCAAACAGGAUUAGAUACCCGGGUAGUC